CCUACGGGGGGCAGCAGUGGGGAAUAUUGGACAAUGGGCGCAAGCCUGAUCCAGCAAUGCCGCGUGUGUGAAGAAGGCCUGCGGGUUGUAAAGCACUUUGAGUGGGGAAGAAGGCCUGGGGGUUAAUAGCUUCUGGGAUUGACGUUACCCACAGAACAAGCACCGGCUAACUCCGUGCCAGCAGCCGCGGUAAUACGGAGGGUGCGUGCGUUAAGUGGAAUUACUGGGCGCGAUUCGCGCGUACUGGGUUGAAAGCCCUGGGCUUAACCUGGGAACUGCAUUGGAUACUGUUUGACUGGAGUGUGGUAGAGGGGUGUGGAAUUUCCGGUGUAGCAGUGAAAUGCGUAGAGAUCGGAAGGAACACCAGUGGCGAAGGCGGCACCCUGGACCGACACUGACGCUGAGGUGCGAAAGCGUGGGGAGCAAACAGGAUUAGAUACCCCUGUAGUC
rnacentral:rRNA from 1 species